CGCCAGCCAAUAAUCGGUCUGCGUUAUCGGUUGCCGCCUAUCGGUCGUAACCAUAGACAAGUAUACUAACUCGUCUAAACUAACUUUAGUCGUAACUCGUAAUGUCGCGUGAACGCCGUGAACACAAGAUUCCAUGGACGUCCAUGGUGCCGCGGAGGGUGGUGGUCAUCUCCAACGGUCGUCACUCGUUCUCCGUGGGACUUUGUGACUUGUGUAUUGUCUAAAGUUUUUGUUACUUAACCUUGCCGUGGUCUCCGACGUCAGUGAUUAUUAUAAUUUAUAUUUUAUUAAUUUAAAAUAGUUUUGACUUUUUAAACUGUUGUCGUUUAACGUUGUACGUUUUUAUAUCUAACGACUCCAACGGUUGUCACUCAUCAUUGAACAUUCGCUGUCGGAAUUUGUUUCUACAACUGUGUGUCUGUGUGGUACUGUCUAUGGCCGCCGGUUGUCGCCAUCAGUGGUUAUUAUAUUUUAUUCAUUUCGAAAUAGCUUUACGAGCAUUUACGAGUUACCUAUUUAGUGAAUAUUAUAUAUUCUGGUUAAUGAACUAUCCAGAUUAGUAGGUAGAUCUAUAUCAGACUCAGUACGCCGUAUGAUGCAAAAAUUGUAUGAUGAUACGUGGCUGAAGUAUUAUUCUUAUAUUAGUUAUAUUGGACAUAAAGGAAAAAACAAAUUGUCAUCUCUCAGUUCUUGUAAAAUUAUUUUUGUUUGAAAAAGUACCAGAUAUAGAAAUCGCAUUGUCAAUUAGCAAGUGGAUGGCACAAUCAAGCAAUCAUUUAAAAAAGAAAUGUACUAUUACAGAAAACACUUGUGAACUUUAAUAAUUUUCCAUUUUUUUUUUUUUUUUUUUUUUUUUUUUAUCA